AAGUCGUAACAAGGUUUCCGUAGGUGAACCUGCGGAAGGAUCAUUAACACGUAUCCAACGUUAAAAACCCCGUGCCCACAAAACGAACAACUGUUAACAAUGGAUAUCUUGGUUCUC
rnacentral:misc_RNA from 1 species